GGAUUAGAUACCCUGGUAGUCCACGCCGUAAACGAUGAUAACUAGCUGUCCGGGGACUUGGUCUUUGGGUGGCGCAGCUAACGCAUUAAGUUAUCCGCCUGGGGAGUACGGUCGCAAGAUUAAAACUCAAAGGAAUUGACGGGGGCCUGCACAAGCGGUGGAGCAUGUGGUUUAAUUCGAAGCAACGCGCAGAACCUUACCAGCGUUUGACAUCCUCAUCGCGGAUUAGAGAGAUCUUUUCCUUCAGUUCGGCUGGAUGAGUGACAGGUGCUGCAUGGCUGUCGUCAGCUCGUGCCG
rnacentral:rRNA from 1 species